CACAAUAAGGUGAAGUUCUGUGCUCCCUCCUGGAGUUGAGCAGUAAGGUCAGCCACAGCAAAAACACACAGAGUGGAUGUCAAAAAUUUCUCCCCUCCAUGAAAGCAGUAAAGAAACUGGCAAAAAUUGGUGUGUUUUGAAAUUAUCAGGAAAGGCUCAUCAUCCCAGACAAGCAAGAAGUCUCCAGGUCCGCAAACUGCAAGUCUCCCUCUGUGAAGGGCAUGCUGCCCGGAAGUGCUGUUAUUCACACAGAACACACAUCUCCACUGAAAGAGCGCCCCUCACUGCCCUGGAUCCCAGCGUGAAGCCACUACAUGUCUCUUCCCAGUAGGUACAAGAUUCUUUGAGAGUAAGGACAAUAUUAUAUUGAAAUUCAGCAACCUAGAACAGACCUUUGCCAACAGCAUGUGCACUAGAAACAUUUCUAAACAAACAAACUGAAAAUCUGGAGUCUUUGUGACUCUGCCAUCUUUAAAGUCCAGGCACCCAUCUUCAGAACAGCCAAGAAAAUGUGAAGAAGCCUGCUUGCUUCCUGACAAUGUGCUUGAAAGAAAUAUGCAUUCCAAUCCCCUUCUCCUCAUUGCAAGACCCUCUUCAUUGCACGACCCUCUAAAGAGAGAAUGAACUCGUCCCUGGCUGUCUCCUCACCGAACGCACUGCUCUAAGAACACUGAAAAAAUGACUCUUACAUUUGCCCUAACCAGUUUUACUAUGACACACAUGUGCGGAAGAGAACACAGCUCUAGCCCCUUUGUCAGGAUCUUCAAUGCACACUGCUCUAGUUCUGGCCUGAGUUUUCCCUCCUUUGCCUGUAAUGAACUUCACCCGACUCUCCCUCCACCUCAUAUCACUUGAUGGGCCCACAGGAGGCAAGGCCUCCAUCUGUCUCUCUCACACACACAAGACUGCAAGCAGCUUUGCCUGGCUUUGUCUGGCUUUGUCUCCCUAGUCAGAGCAGCUGCUAUCAGACAUCCCCCUCAUCAAGUUUUCACGUCAGUAUGGGAUGCCAAUAUGUACUCGUGUUGCCAACGAAUCAACAAGUAUUUGUGGACAGUCCACUCUACCCACUGAAUUCCAGACACUAUGAGAAACACAAAAGAAUUCUACAAGUGUUUCCCAAGCUCAAAGAAGCAUUAGUUGAGUGGAGCACAUCAAACAACAUUUUAAACAGACAGAAGAUCCCCAGCUGCUGGCCUGUAUAGCCUCAAUUCCAGAAAAGUUAUCUCCAGACCUGCGGUGGACAUUGUAACUUAUGGUAGAGUUUCCAGCAGCAACUGUCUUCCAAAUAAGCAUCUGGUUCAACCACUUCUGAAAGCCAAAUAACUGAACAAGAUUGAGGCCUGAUAAAACCCAACAACUGCCCAUGGGCAGUUUUCAGCUGAACCAGUGACGUGGUGCCCACCCCUCUCAAGUGAGCCCUUCAGUGAGGCUGAGGAAGCCCAGCAGAAGGUUUUUGCCUAGCUCUAUGGGCACCAGCACAACCAGCAUGAGACUAGAAACUUCAUCAAACCUAUUGCCUCUGCCAAGCAACAUCAGGACAUGUACCAAUUAAAAGGACAUUUAAUUGUUUAACGAGAUUUUCCAAGAUAGACAAAAGGCUAAGCAAAGACAAGAAUGGCUGCUAAACUGAAUGCCACAUUUUUAAACUGCACUCAGGUGAGGUUGCGCUUGCUUGGCAAUGAACAG
rnacentral:lncRNA from 1 species